GUUAGGAAUAUUGGACAAUGGGCGAAAGCCUGAUCCAGCCAUGCCGCGUGAACGAUGAAGGCCUUCGGGUUGUAAAGUUCUUUAGCCGAUGAUUAUAAUGACUGUAGUCGGAAAAUAAGCCCCGGCUAACUUCGUGCCAGCAGCCGCGGUAAUACGAAGGGGGCGAGCGUUAUUCGGAAUCACUGGGCGUAAAGCGUGCGUAGGCGGUCUCGUAAGUUAGGAGUGAAAGCCCAGGGCUCAACCUUGGAAUUGCUCUUAAAACUGCAAGGCUAGAAUCUCGGAGAGGAUAGUGGAAUUUCCAGUGUAGCAGUGAAAUGCGUAGAUAUUGGAAGGAACACCAGUGGCGUAAGCGGCUAUCUGGACGAGUAUUGACGCUGAGGCACGAAAGCGUGGGGAUCAAACAGGAUUAGAAACCCUGGUAGUCC
rnacentral:rRNA from 1 species